rnacentral:lncRNA from 1 species
CAUUUCUUCGUUGUGGGCUUCUUCCAUGGGAGAUAUCUGGGGAAUAGCCAUAUCAGAAUUGUGUAGAGAUUGGAAUUGUUAAAGUGCUAUUUGUUUUCCUUUUGUGCCUCUUAGGGAGGACUCCUUGUCCUCCCCAUUGUUGCCAAAUUCUCCCAACCCCCAUCUGACCACAAUCCAGAUCCCUCGUACCAGAUAAUAGUUUGUUCGCAAUCCAGAUCAUAAAAAGUGGCGUACUGAUGUACCAUACAGAACCCUAAAAAAGAAGGGGGAAGAAGGAGAUAUAUAACACAAUUAAUGCAUAUUUUAAGCAUCCUAAAAGAAAAGAAAUUGUACUUUGAAAAGAAAUCUUACCGGAUCAGGAAAAACAUGUUGAACUUGGAGAUUUCUGUAUCUUUAGCUACAAUUUUCUUGCUUGAAAAUUGAAAUCCUUGAAAUCCCAUAUCCUAGUGUUGUGAAGCCAAAUCAGAAGGGGAAAACAAUGUGAAAGAAAUAGUUUGAAAAUAGGUUAUGAAAUUUGAACUCUGGAAUUGCAGUUGAACAAUGGAGCCAGAAAGCAAGUAUGAAGCGCAGAAGCGUCUUUUCAGUUUUGGGAAGAAGAAUAAGAAUAUGGCAUUUUCUAUUGGAGUUGCUGAGUUGUGGUAAACUAUGGGCUAUCUUUGGAAUGUGUACUCUAUUGGUCUUCCCAUGUAUCUUCUUCUCUGUUAACAAAAUCUAUUUCUUAAUUUAAAAAGAAUAUAUACUAAUGAUAUAUGUCUAUGAGACAAGGAGUGGAGAUUGGACAAAAUAUCUAAUAUCAAUAGUUGUCAAUUCAUAGCCAUCAACUAAGGUUGGGGAUAAGUGUCCCAAGCAAGCUUAUCAAGUCGUCGCCUAGGCGACGCUUAGGAGUCCAGUCGGUACAUUUUGGGGAGUCGUUUGGACGACUUGGUUGCAAGGGAGAAAGUCGACCGCUCAGGUAACGACUUAGAAGACUUCGACGACUUUCUCGCGACUUGGACAACAAUAUGGCUAAGUCGUCGACUUGGACAGAGCGGGUGUUCGACCCGAACCUUAACUGAGUUAAAAAAAAUAGCAAAGUUCGAGUCGACUGUAAACCUAAUCGAUCGAUCGCGACUUUGGAAUAGCAGAGAGGGAGAAACGAGUUGCAGAGCAGAGACCAAGAGCAAGAAAGGGGACUCACCUGUCGACGCGACUUGCAGUAUGCCUCCUCUUUCCUUUUCUUCUACUCUUCUUCUUUUCUUCAGUUCUACUUUUCUUUUCUGCCGAUGCAUCGACUUGGACAGAGGUUUGGUUCUGCCAUUUUUUUUCUUCUCUUGGGUUUCACCAUUCCUGAGCUUUUUUUCCUUCUCUUUGGUUUUGGGUACACAAUACACACGAGAAGUCAUUUGUUUUGUUUCUUGGUUCUUGGAUGUUUACCAGGGGUA